GAUAGGAUGGCUGAAUUAUAGGCUGUAAAUUGUAAAUUUAUAAAUGGUAGAACCUCCUAUUA
rnacentral:tRNA from 1 species